rnacentral:rRNA from 1 species
GACGAACGCUGGCGGCGUGCUUAACACAUGCAAGUCGAACGGAAAGGCCCUGCUUUUGUGGGGUGCUCGAGUGGCGAACGGGUGAGUAACACGUGAGUAACCUGCCCUUGACUUUGGGAUAACUUCAGGAAACUGGGGCUAAUACCGGAUAGGAGCUCCUGCUGCAUGGUGGGGGUUGGAAAGUUUCGGCGGUUGGGGAUGGACUCGCGGCUUAUCAGCUUGUUGGUGGGGUAGUGGCUUACCAAGGCUUUGACGGGUAGCCGGCCUGAGAGGGUGACCGGCCACAUUGGAACUGAGAUACGGCCCAGACUCCUACGGGAGGCAGCAGUGGGGAAUAUUGCACAAUGGGCGGAAGCCUGAUGCGGCAACGCCGCGUGCGGGAUGACGGCCUUCGGGUUGUAAACCGCUUUCGCCUGUGACGAAGCGUGAGUGACGGUAAUGGGUAAAGAAGCACCGGCUAACUACGUG